rnacentral:rRNA from 1 species
UGAGACACGGACCAGACUCCUACGGGAGGCAGCAGUAAGGAAUAUUGGACAAUGGCCGCAAGGCUGAUCCAGCCAUGCCGCGUGCAGGAAGACGGACCUAUGGUUUGUAAACUGCUUUUGAACUAGAGAAAACCCCUUUACGUGUAAAGGGCUGAUAGUAUAGUUAGAAUAAGCAUCGGCUAACUUCGUGCCAGCAGCCGCGGUAAGACGAAGGAUGCAAGCGUUAUCCGGAUUCAUUGGGUUUAAAGGGAGCGUAGGUGGAUUUGUAAGUCAGUGGUGAAAGCCGGCAGCUUAACUGUCGAAUUGCCAUUGAUACUGCGGAUCUUGAGUAUGGUUGCUGUGGGCGGAAUAUGACAUGUAGAGGUGAAAUUCAUAGAGAUGUCAUAGAACACCGAUUGCGAAGGCAGCUCACAAAGCCAUUACUGACACUGAGGCUCGAAAGUGCGGGGAUCAAACAGGAUUAGAUACCCUGGUAGUCCGCACUGUAAACGAUGAUUACUCGCUGCUGGGAGGUAACUUUCAGUGGCUUAGCGAAAGCGAUAAGUAAUCCACCUGGGGAGUACGCCGGCAACGGUGAAACUCAAAGGAAUUGACGGGGGCCCGCACAAGCGGAGGAGCAUGUGGUUUAAUUCGAUGAUACGCGAGGAACCUUACCAGGGCUUGAAAGUUAGGGAAUGAUUUUGAAAGAAGUCAGUCAGCAAUGACCCGAAACUAGGUGCUGCAUGGCUGUCGUCAGCUCGUGCCGUGAGGUGUUGGGUUAAGUCCCGCAACGAGCGCAACCCCUACCAUUAGUUGCCAGCGGUUCGGCCGGGGACUCUAAUGGAACUGCCCGCGCAAGCGGAGAGGAAGGUGGGGAUGACGUCAAGUCAUCACGGCCCUUACGUCCUGGGCUACACACGUGCUACAAUGGCAGAUACAGAGGGCAGCUACUUGGCAACAAGAUGCUAAUCCACAAAGUCUGUCUCAGUUCGGAUUGAGGUCUGCAACUCGACCUCAUGAAGCUGGAUUCGCUAGUAAUCGCGCAUCAGCCAUGGCGCGGUGAAUACGUUCCCGGGCCUUGUACACACCGCCCGUCAAGCCAUGGAAGCUGG